CCCAUUAUUAUUUCCUCCAUUAAAAGAAAAACAUAAAAAAGAACCACUACUAAAGGGCUACUCUUUCUUUCUUUCUUUCUUUCUUUCUCUCUGCCACACAUCACACCCACCCAGUUGUCUCAGCAUUGCAGCAGGCAGCAGUUGCAGCACUGCAACUGCUCUUUCUCUCUGCACAUGAUAAAAAAGCAAUUCUUUACUAUUCGCUUCUCUUCUCUACAUAACCCCGUCUCUUACUUUUUUUUUUUUUCAAAAUUUUUAUUUAAUUUUCCUAUUAAAAGCUUGAUUUGAUAUCUCCCAUCUUCACUUACCCACUCCAUUCACAGCUCUAAACUUGCUUCUGAAAAAUGCACUCAUGAAACUCUUGCUUUUCUUCUUCUUUCUCUUCUAAACUCCUCUUGUUUCUUCUUAAAAUGGUGGGUUUAAUUGAUCUCAACACUACGGAGGAAGAAGACACUCCGUCCUCUGCUUCUUUGUCGCCGUCUCCCUCCUCUUCGUCUGCUUCCGUUUUAAGUUCUUCUGCUUUAAGCGCUUCUGGGUUGUCGUUGGAGCUGUUGCACGCCUGUGCAGGCCCCCUCAUAUCUCUCCCUAAGAGAGGGGCUGUAGUGGUGUACUUCCCUCAGGGUCACUUUGAACAUGUCGCGGAUUAUUCCGCCGCAUCUGCCGCUCCUUUUGAUCUUCCUCCUCACGUGUUUUGUCGCGUUGCUGAUGUCAAGCUCCAUGCGGAGGCUGCGAGUGAUGAGGUUUACGCGCAGGUCACUCUGGUUCCUGAAACAGAGCCAACUGACAAGAAGUUGCUAGAAGGGAAAAUUGAAGGGCAUGGUGAGGAGGAGGAUGUUGAGGUAGCUGCUAAGUCAUCGACACCCCACAUGUUCUGCAAGACCCUUACUGCUUCUGAUACUAGCACUCAUGGAGGCUUCUCUGUGCCUCGUCGAGCUGCAGAGGACUGCUUCCCUCCCCUGGAUUACAGUCAACAGAGGCCUUCGCAAGAGCUUGUAGCAAAGGAUCUUCAUGGCCUGGAAUGGAGAUUUCGACACAUCUACAGGGGGCAACCACGGAGGCACUUGCUGACCACUGGAUGGAGUGCUUUUGUUAAUAAGAAAAAACUCGUCUCUGGAGAUGCUGUGCUUUUCCUGAGGGGUGAAGAUGGUGAAUUGAGAUUGGGGAUACGAAGGGCAUCUCAAGUAAAAGGCAGUGCCUGUUUUCCAUCUUUAUGCAGCCAACAGUUGAGUCACAGCACUAUCACAGAUGUGGUUAGUGCUAUAUCUAUGAAACGUUCUUUCAGCGUUUACUACAAUCCAAGGGGUAGUGCAUCAGAGUUCAUAAUCCCUGUCCAUAAAUUCUUGAAGAGCCUUGAACACCAUUUUUCUGUUGGAAUGAGAUUCAAAAUGCGUUUUGAAGCAGAAGACUCAGCGGAACGCAGAUGCACUGGACUGAUUACUGAAAUCAGUGAUGUAGAUCCUCUUAGAUGGCCUGGGUCAAAAUGGAGGUGCCUAUUGGUUAGGUGGGAUGAUAGUGAGGUUAAUGGGCACACAAGGGUUUCUCCUUGGGAAAUUGAGCAAUCUGGUCCUGUUGCUAGUUCCAAUAGCUUGAUCACACAGGGUUUGAAGAGGACAAGGAUGGGAUUGCCUUCAGGGAAACCAGAUUUUCCAGUUCCUGAUGGAAUUGGAGUACCAGACUUUGGGGAAUCUUUGAGGUUCCAGAAGGUCUUGCAAGGUCAAGAAAUUUUGGGUGUUGAUAUCCAGAAUCUGCAUCCAUCUGAAAUCAGGAGGUACCGUCCUGGUUCAUAUGGACCUGGGAUUGCUACAGGAGAUGGUAUCAGAAACCUUCAUGUAAAUUCUGAUAUCUCCUACAAACGCAUGGGCUUUGGUGAAUCAUUCAGAUUCCAUAAGGUCUUGCAAGGUCAAGAAAUUAUUCCCCAGUCCCCAUAUGGAAGAGCACCUACUGUUAAUGAGGCUCAAGAUAAUGGCUGUGUUGGAAUCACAAAUGGUGGUCAGAUGCUAGGGUCAAGAAAUGGAUGGCCUUCUGCAAUUCAGGGUUAUAAUACUAAUAUGAGCCCCUCUGCACCUUCUGUACAAGUUUCAUCACCAUCUUCAGUGUUGAUGUUCCAGCUGGUAAAUAAUCCAGUUCUUAACUAUAAUCCUCCUCUUCAUGGCUUGAAUGAUCAGGUGAAGGGGCAACAGAUUGGUAAACACAGUUUUUUUCAUAAUUCUGAAAUGAAUGGGGGAAAGCUCAUAGCAUCUUCACCUUCCGAGCAUAGUUUCAGAGGGGAUGAUCAGGGAGUCUUGAAUUCUAUAGGCCGGUCAAACGAGCAUAUUCAACUUGGAAUAUCACAUCCUCUUGCCCCUCAAUCAGCAUGUAGGGGAGGUCAAGAUAUAGUUUCCUCAUGUAAAAGUAGCUGCAGACUGUUUGGCUUUUCUCUGACUGAGGAAAGACAUUUUGCAACUGUUGAGGACACCACAGCUCCAGCGACAUCUAAGUUGAAUCCUAGAGCUUCCCUUCUUCCUCAUGUUGGAGAGCACUUUCAUCCAAAGCCUCCAAUGAUGAACAAGGCAGUUGGAAACAACUGUACCAAUGUAAGAAACCUCUUCGCUGUACGAGAUCCACUUUCUGAUAUUGCAUAGUUAGUGUACCUCAGUUGCAUGAUAGAAACUGAAAGAUCACAAAAGGUGGAGAGUUAAGGACAAUGACUCUUAUCUCUGCAUGCCUGAUGGACAUUGUGAGUGAUGAGUGCUUGAUGCCAUAUGGAAGGGGUUUUCUGCCUAUGGAUAAAAUAUAUGAUGAAAGUCAUUCAACCGGAUGGUGAUGAUAGAAUAUAGCUUAUUGGAGAUGAUUGGUGGCAGUAUGAGCUAAACUGUCAUUUUGAUUAGGAAAGCUCUUGUUUCUGAAGAGCUUUAUAUGUUGGAGACCUGCUACCCAGGAAUUAUGCAAUGUCUUGGAAAUUAUGAUAUAUACUAAUGAAGUUGCCAGUAGUAAGCACCUGAGAGGAAGAAAAUGUUUCCGGUUGCUCUAAUUGUUGUGUGCUGUCACUUAACAAAAAAAUUUGUAAAUUUUCUUCUGAAGUAACAUGUUGAUGCUCAACUUCUUUGGUUAUAACAAUUUGUAUUAACCUAGUAAGUACAUACUGAUUCCUGGAUUUGAAUAUAUGUGCUGUAAUCAAACUUAAAAGGGUAUUGCAUAGAUGCUUUUGUGAUACCCUUAAUGAGAUUCCUGAGGUAUUGUCUGUUUUGUUC